ensembl:antisense Gm37854 predicted gene, 37854
GGGUGGAGGGGGAGCAUCACAGUGAGGUCUUUGAUAAAGAAUAAAGGAAAGACGCAACAAACCAGAAUCUUCUGCAGCAAAGCUUUAUUGCUUACUCAGGAGCAAGAGAGGAAGAGCACGGCAGAGAGAGGCAGAGAGGAAGAGAGAGAGAGAGACGCAGAGAGAGACGCAGAGAGAGAGGCAGAGAGAGAGAGAGAGGCAGAGAGCAGAGGAAGAGAGCAGAGGAAAAGAUGAAGAGAAAGAGACGAAGAGACAAGAAAGAGAGUGCCAGAACCCCGUCCCUUUUAAGGAGAAUUAUCCUCCGCCUAGGACGUGUCACUCCCUGAUUGGCUGCAGCCCAUCGGCCCAGUUGUCANNNNNNNNNNNNNACUGCCCCUGCACAUGUGCAGAUUAUUUACUACUUAGAACACAGCUGUCAGCGCCAUCUUGUAAUGGCAAAUGUGGGUGCGGCUCCCCACAAUUUUCUGUACUCCAUUCCUCUGUUGAGGGACAUCUGUUUUUUUUUUCCAGCUUCUGGCUAUUAUAAAUAAGGCUGCUAUGAACAUAGUGGAUCAUGUGUCCUUAUUACAACUUGGACCAUCUUCUGGUAUAUGCCCAAGAGUGGUAUUGCUGGAUCUUCUGGUAGAACUUUGUCAGUUUUCUAAGGAACCACCAAACUGAUUUCCAGAGUUGUUGUACCAGCUUGCACUCCCACCAGCAAUGGAGGAUGUUCUUCUUUCUUCACAUCCUCGCCAGCUUCUCCUGUCACCUGAGUUUUUGAUCUUAGCUGUUCUGACUGGUGUGAGGUGGAAUCUCAGGGUUGUUUUGAUUUGCAUUUCCCUGAUGAUUAAGGACAAGUUGCUCUUAGGCCUUGCCUCUCUCAAAGCAUUGACCUGUGUAUGGACCUUCUUAUUGAUUAUCAUACCCAGUUGUUUCAGUAGCUUUCAGUUCCCCUUGAUUUGUGUUUCUUUAGUGAUAAAAUUGUAUAGUUUUAUUGUAUUUCUUGUAGUAGUAAGAUAAGUUUUAAUACAUUAUUCAUUAAAUGUUGUAGUAAGAUACAAGUUAAAAAAAAAAACACCACACAUACACCCACACACGCAUUAAACAUAGCAGAGUAUUGAGUACCCAAGAGCAAUUAUCAGACUAGCUAGAACAAGAUUUGCAAACUGUUUGAACAGAAAUUUCUUUCUUAGGGCUUUUUGGUGUGUAUUCUGAUUAUUUUAUUAUAAUUUUCUUUGAAGAAUUCCUUUCUCAUGUAGCUAAUGAAGGUCUGAGGGCUAUAUAUAACUGUAUUAAAGACUUCAAUAUAGAAAAAAUGUAGAAAAAAACUGACACAAUGAUUUGAAAAUAGUUUGGGAAUAUAUAUAUAUAUAUAUAUAUGAUAUAUGCUUAACUUGCAAUGUUGUAUAUAGUGUGAACCAGAUAAUACAAGAGUAUUGGGACAGCAGUCUCUUUAUUCACUUGGU